CAAUAGCGUAUAUUAAAGUUGUUGCGGUUAAAAAGCUCGUAGUUGGAUUUCUGCCGAGGACGACCGGUCCGCCCUCUGGGUGAGUAUCUGGCUUGGCCUGGGCAUCUUCUUGGAGAACGUAGCUGCACUUGACUGUGUGGUGCGGUAUCCAGGACUUUUACUUUGAGGAAAUUAGAGUGUUUCAAGCAGGCAUGCGCCUUGAAUACAUUAGCAUGGAAUAAUAAGAUAGGACCUCGGUUCUAUUUUGUUGGUUUCUAGAGCUGAGGUAAUGAUUAAUAGGGAUAGUUGGGGGCAUUCGUACUGGACAGCUAGAGGUGAAAUUCUACGAUUUGUCUAAGACGAACUAAUGCGAAGGCAUCUGCCAAGGAUGUUUUCAUUGAUCAAGAACGAAAGUCAGGGUAUCGAAGACGAUUAGAUACCAU
rnacentral:rRNA from 1 species